rnacentral:rRNA from 1 species
UAUCAGUCAUGCAUAGCAUAUCAAUAAGCGGAGGAAAAGUAAAUGCUAUUACCUACGCUUAGGAUGUUGACACACGCGCGUGCUCGACUCUAUACAUGACUCUGUGCUAUAUCAAUAAGCGGAGGAAAAGGCAUACCUACGCUUAGGAUGUUGACGCGCGUGUGUGCGUGAAUCUAUACAUGACUCUGUGCAUAUCAAUAAGCGGAGGAAAAGAAACUAACAAGGAUUCCCCUAGUAACGGCGAGUGAAGCGGGAAGAGCUCAAAUUUGAAAUCUUAAAGGGUUUCCCUUUACGAAUUGUAGCUUUAAAGAAGUGUUUUCUGUUGAGGUUUUGGUAAAAGUUCUUUGGAAUAGGACAUCAUAGAGGGUGAGAAUCCCGUAUUUGACCUUUACUUUCAACUUUGUGAUACACUUUCAAAGAGUCGGAUUGUUCGGGAAUGCAGUCCCAAAAUGGGUGGUAAAUUUCAUCUAAAGCUAAAUAUUGGCGAGAGACCGAUAGCGAACAAGUACCGUGAGGGAAAGAUGAAAAGAACUUUGAAAAGAGAGUUAAACAGUACGUGAAAUUGUCAAAAGGGAAGCGUUUGACACCAGUGUUGUUUUUCUGAAAAUCAACUUAAAGAACUGUUUAUGCUAAGUUGUUUAGACUUUAUCAGCUAACUGUUUAGUUUUGAGCUUUUCUUUAAUGCACUUUUCAGUUAACAAGUCAACAUCAAUUUCUUUUGCUGUAAAAAGCUUGAGGAAGGUGGCUUGAGAUUCGUCUUAAGUGUUUAUAGCCUCUUGCCUAUGCAGUCGGAGAGAUUGAGGUCUGCAGCGUAGAUCCUUCGGGGCUAAAUGCAUUUGUGCUAAGUUAUAGCAUUUUAUAGACAACUUGUUGACUAUGAUUUGUCUUGUAGCUUACUCGCUUAUGUUAUUUUACCUACGCUUAGGAUGUUGACGCGCGUGUGUGCGUG